rnacentral:rRNA from 1 species
UAUUGGACAAUGGGGGGAACCCUGAUCCAGCGACGCCGCGUGAGUGAAGAAGUAUUUCGGUAUGUAAAGCUCUAUCAGCAGGGAAGAAAGAAGUGACGGUACCUGACUAAGAAGCCCCGGCUAACUACGUGCCAGCAGCCGCGGUAAUACGUAGGGGGCAAGCGUUAUCCGGAUUUACUGGGUGUAAAGGGAGCGUAGACGGCGAUGCAAGUCUGAAGUGAAAGGCGGGGGCCCAACCCCCGGACUGCUCUGGAAACUAUGUUACUAGAGUGCAGGAGAGGUAAGCGGAAUUCCUAGUGUAGCGGUGAAAUGCGUAGAUAUUAGGAGGAACACCAGUGGCGAAGGCGGCUUACUGGACUGUAACUGACGUUGAGGCUCGAAAGCGUGGGGAGCAAGCAGG